rnacentral:rRNA from 1 species
CCUGUUUUAUCAAAAACAUGUCUUUUUGAAAAUAAUUUAAAGUCUAAUCUGCCCACUGAUGAAAAUUAAAGGGCUGCAGUAUUUUGACUGUACAAAGGUAGCAUAAUCAUUAGUUUUUUAAUUGAAAACUUGUAUGAAAGAUUUAAUGAAAUAUAUACUGUCUCAAAUUUAUUAUUAAAAAUUUAUUUUUUAGUUAAAAAGCUAAAAUAUUUUUAAAAGACGAGAAGACCCUAUAGAGUUUUAUAUUUAUUUUUAUUAAAAAGUUAUAUAAAAAUUAAUAUUAAAAUAAAAUAAAAUAUUAUAUUGGGGUGAUAGAAAAAUUAAAUUAACUUUUUUUAAUAAAUUAAUAUUAAUAAAUAAGUAAAUGAUCCAUAAAUAAUGAUUAAAAGAAAAAAUUACCUUAGGGAUAACAGCGUAAUUUUUUUUUUUAGUUCGAAUAAGAAAAAAAGUUUGCGACCUCGAUGUUGGAUUAAGAUAAAAUUUAAAUGCAAAAGUUAAAA